rnacentral:misc_RNA from 1 species
GAUGAAGAACGUAGCGAAAUGCGAUACUUGGUGUGAAUUGCAGAAUCCCGUGAACCAUCGAGUCUUUGAACGCAAGUUGCGCCUCAAGCCAUUAGGUUGAGGGCACGUCUGCCUGGGCGUCACAUAUCGUUGCCUGAUGCCAGUUUCCUCGUGAUGGGUGACUGUGCAGGGCGAAUGAUGGCUUCCCGUGAGCAUUGUUGCCUCAUGGUUGGUUGAAAAUUGAGUCCUUGGUAGGGAGCGCCGUGAUAGAUGGUGGUUGAGUGACGAACGAGACCCAAUCAUGUGAGACCCCUACCGAAUUUGGCCUUCAUGACCCACAUGCGUCUUUGGAACGCUCAUGACGAGACCUCAGGUCAGGCGGGGCUAUCCGCUGAGUUUAAGCAUAUCAAUAAGCGUAGGA